UGACUGCCAAGCUGGGAAGAACUCCAGUUCCUUCCUAGGCUAGGGAUUUUAACAACAGAACAAAAUCCCAGUGUUCUUCAAGGUGACAAGGGGAACCGCUAGGGUUUCCCAAGGCACAGUUUGUGAACAACUGAUUGGAGCCAGACUCAUCAGGCUAGAUGUACCUACAGCAACUAGCAUAGAUCUCAAAAACAUAGUACCAAGCGAAAUAAGACAGACUGAGAUAAUAGAAGAUAGUAACAUUUACCUGAACUAUGGCGGCCACAGCACAGCAAUACAUAUUCUGCAAGAAGACAGCUAAACAAAAGAUACACACUCAACACAACAGAAAGGGUGCCGUGGUGGGGAGGAGAAGGGGGUGAAGGGGAGACAUUGAAGGGAGUGAGUUAUUAAAAAGUAUUUAAUCAAUGAAA
rnacentral:lncRNA from 1 species